rnacentral:tRNA from 1 species
GAGGGUAUAGCUCAGUGGUAGAGCGUAUGCUUAGUAUGCAUCAAGGUCCUGGGUUCAAUCCCCAGCACUUCCA